rnacentral:rRNA from 1 species
UACGUAGGGUGCAAGCGUUAAUCGGAAUUACUGGGCGUAAAGCGUGCGCAGGCGGCUUUGUAAGCCAGAUGUGAAAUCCCCGGGCUUAACCUGGGAAUGGCAUUUGGGACUGCAAGGCUGGAGUUUGGCAGAGGAGACUGGAAUUCCUGGUGUAGCAGUGAAAUGCGUAGAUAUCAGGAGGAAUACCGAUGGCGAAGGCAGGUCUCUGGGCUAUAACUGACGCUCAUGCACGAAAGCGUGGGGAGCAAACAGG